rnacentral:rRNA from 1 species
GACGAACCGAGCGACCGUUAUUCGGAAUCACUGGGCUUAAAGGGCGCGUAGGCGGGCGGUCAAGUCGAGGGUGAAAUCCCCCAGCUCAACUGGGGAAGUGCCUCCGAUACUGGCCGUCUCGAGGGGGAUAGGGGCGUGCGGAACUUCCGGUGGAGCGGUGAAAUGCGUAGAUAUCGGAAGGAACACCGGUGGCGAAAGCGGCGCGCUGGAUCCCUUCUGACGCUGAGGCGCGAAAGCCAGGGGAGCGAACGGG